GGCCAGGUAGCUCAGUCGGUAGAGCAGGGGACUGAAAAUCCCCGUGUCGGGGGUUCGAUUCCCUCCCUGGCCACCA
rnacentral:tRNA from 1 species